rnacentral:rRNA from 1 species
UACGAAGGAUGCAAGCGUUAUCCGGAUUUAUUGGGUUUAAAGGGAGCGUAGGCGGUCUUAUAAGUCAGUGGUGAAAUCUCGUUGCUUAACAACGACCGUGCCAUUGAUACUGUAGGACUUGAGUACAGUUGCCGUUGGCGGAAUGUGUCAUGUAGCGGUGAAAUGCAUAGAUAUCGUUUGGAACGCCAAUGGUGAAAACAGGUCGCUGGGGAUGAGCUGACGCUGAGACACGAAAGCCAGGGGAGCAAACGGG